rnacentral:rRNA from 1 species
UACGUAGGGACCGAGCGUUGUCCGGAAUCAUUGGGCGUAAAGAGCGUGUAGGCGGCCAAUUAAGUCCUGCGUGAAAUCUCGGGGCUCAACCCCGAGCGGUCGUGGGAAACUGGUUGGCUAGAGUGCGGGAGAGGAGAGUGGAAUUCCUGGUGUAGCGGUGAAAUGCGCAGAUAUCAGGAAGAACACCCGUGGCGAAGGCGGCUCUCUGGGACGGUACUGACGCUGAGACGCGAAAGCGUGGGGAGCGAACAGG